rfam:Manacus vitellinus contig18018, whole genome shotgun sequence.
ACCCCAUUAGCUCAGUUGGUCAGAGUAUGGUGCUGAUAACACCAAAGUUGUGGGUUUGAUCCCUGUAUGGGCCA